rnacentral:rRNA from 1 species
GAUGAACGCUGGCGGCGUGCCUAAUACAUGCAAGUCGAGCGAACAGACGAGGAGCGUGCUCCUCUGACGUUAGCGGCGGACGGGUGAGUAACACGUGGAUAACCUACCUAUAAUACUGGGAGAAAUUCGGGAAACCGGAGCUAAUACCGGAUAAUAUAUUGAACCGCAUGGUUCAAUAGUUAAAGACAGUUUUGCUGUCACUUAUAGAUGGAUCCGCGCCGCAUUAGCUAGUUGGUAAGGUAACGGCUUACCAAGGCAACGAAGCGUAGCCGACCUGAUAGGGUGAUAGGCCACCCUGGAACUGAGACACGGUCCAGACCCCUACGGGAGGCAGCAGUAGGGAAUCUUCCGCAAUGGGCGAAAGCUUGACGGAGCAAAGCCGCGUGAGUGAUGAAGGUCUUCGGAUCGUAAACCUCUGUUAUUAGGGAAGAAAAAAUGUGUAAGUAACUCUGCACGUCUUGACGGUACCUAAUAAGAAAGCCACGGCUAACUACGU